rnacentral:rRNA from 1 species
UACGGAGGGGGCUAGCGUUGUUCGGAAUUACUGGGCGUAAAGCGCACGUAGGCGGCUUUGUAAGUUAGAGGUGAAAGCCCGGGGCUCAACUCCGGAAUUGCCUUUAAGACUGCAUCGCUAGAAUUGUGGAGAGGUAAGUGGAAUUCCGAGUGUAGAGGUGAAAUUCGUAGAUAUUCGGAAGAACACCAGUGGCGAAGGCGACUUACUGGACACAUAUUGACGCUGAGGUGCGAAAGCGUGGGGAGCAAACAGGGAU